GAUGAACGCUGGCGGCGUGCCUAAUACAUGCAAGUCGAGCGAACGGACGAGAAGCUUGCUUCUCUGAUGUUAGCGGCGGACGGGUGAGUAACACGUGGAUAACCUACCUAUAAGACUGGGAUAACUUCGGGAAACCGUAGCUAAUACCGGAUAAUAUUUUGAACCGCAUGGUUCAAAAGUGAAAGACGGUCUUGCUGUCACUUAUAGAUGGAUCCGCGCUGCAUUAGCUAGUUGGUAAGGUAACGGCUUACCAAGGCAACGAUGCAUAGCCGACCUGAGAGGGUGAUCGGCCACACUGGAACUGAGACACGGUCCAGACUCCUACGGAGGCAGCAGUAGGGAAUCUUCCGCAAUGGGCGAAAGCCUGACGGAGCAACGCCGCGUGAGUGAUGAAGGUCUUCGGAUCGUAAAACUCUGUUAUUAGGGAAGAACAUAUGUGUAAGUAACUGUGCACAUCUUGACGGUACCUAAUCAGAAAGCCACGGCUAACUACGUG
rnacentral:rRNA from 1 species